rnacentral:lncRNA from 1 species
AUGCACUUGGAAUACAGCUGAUCAGAUCAUAUUUUGCUUGGAUGAAUUAAUCAGCAGAGCAACUAAAAUUCUGAGAGAUUAGGAAAUGAAAUAUUAAAAAGUAAAAUAUUCUGUGAAAAGUCAAGAAGUUUGGUAAAUAACAAAAGCAAGAUUGAAAGCAAACAUCUGCCCAAAGUCACUGCAAAGAAAGAAUUCAGGGUUUCUCCAGCCUAG